AUUUUAGGAUUCAUUGUUUGGUCUUGGUUGGGACUCCCUCACAGUGAUGUGGGGGUAAGAAAUUUCGCUAUUUGCUGAAACAGUUUUACGUUGUUAGGUAUCAAGAUAUAGUAAAAUCCUAGCAGCAAUACUCAAUCAGCAGGGAGCCGUCACUUUAUUAAUGCGGGUUCUUCAGAGACUAUACGCGAGACAUCUUGGCAUAACUUUACAGCCUUCUAUACCCUUUUAAUGGUUAUAUCAACACUAUGAGUCAGCUUUUUUCUAGUUAGCCUUUUUUUUUGGCCUGUCGUUUUUGCUCUCUUUUUUAGAAAAACAGCCCGCUCAUUAUUUUUGCUUUUAUUUUUCUUUUUCUUUUUACUCUCUUUUUCUACCGGAGGAGUAAAAACAGCAGCGCUUAUUUUCACUCGGUAGAAAAUAAAGGCCAAAUAAGCGCCCUUUUUCUGUUUUUAUAAAGCGCCUCGCCCAGCCGAGCUGGGCGCUUCAUUCGCCCAGCCGAGCUGCUUUUCAUCAAAGAUGAAGCGCCCAGCUCGGCUGGGCGAGGCGCUUAGUUUUUAUUUUUGCUUUUUUUGUCCUGCUUUUUGAUUAAUCAAAAAAGACAAAAACAGCAAAAAGCACAAAAAAGGAAAAGGCAGCUCGGCUGGGCGAGGAAAAAGACAAAAAAAUAAAAAAAAAGGGAAAGAGCAUUUAACACCAGACGGAUUACAGCAGAUUCGAUCCCUUUACAGGCAAAUUAAUGUCUGUAACUAAGAAUCAGCUAAGACAGAUCAUCUCGGCCAUAAAGCGACAAGAUGAAGAUAUAGUCCGAACUUUACUCGCGAGAGUAAG
rnacentral:ncRNA from 1 species